AGUCCUAGUCCCAGUGGGACUCUUCCAUAGAGUCCUAGUCCAAGUAGGACUCUUCAUCAGAGUCACAAUCCAAUUGAACUCUUCAGCCAUUUGAUCUGAUCAAAUCUUCUAAUGCAUGUGAUCCCAUAGUUUCAAAUCUAAACCGAUAGCAUAGGAAUAACUUUCUAUACUAAUCAAUGUAACCAUCUAGCAAUGAUGGCCCG
rnacentral:lncRNA from 1 species